GAACGCUAGCGGCGCGCUUAACCCAUGCAAGUCGUGCGGGAAAGGGCUUCGGCCCAAGUACCGCGGCAGACGGGUGAGUAACACGUGAGUAACCUGUCCCCGGGUCUGGGAUAACCAUCCGAAAGGAUGGCUAAUACCGGAUAAAGUUGCCAGGCGCAGGCCUGGCAAUGAAAGGGRGCCUCUGCAUAGCAAGUUCCUGCCUGGGGAGGGGCUCGCGGCCCAUCAGCUAGUUGGUGGGGUAACGGCCCACCAAGGCUGCGACGGGUAGCCGGCCUGAGAGGGUGGUCGGCCACACGGGCACUGAGACACGGGCCCGACUCCUACGGGAGGCAGCAGGGGGGAAUCUUGGGCAAUGGGCGCAAGCCUGACCCAGCGACGCCGCGUGGGGGAAGAAGGCCUUCGGGUCGUAAACCCCUGUUCUGGGGGAAGAACCCUGRCUUAGUUAAUAGCUAAGUCAGGCUGACGGUACCCCAGGAGAAAGCCACGGCUAACUGCGUGCCAGCAGCCGCGGUAAUACGCAGGUGGCGAGCGUUGCCCGGAAUCACUGGGCGUAAAGGGUGCGUAGGCGGCCGGACAAGUCAUAGGUCAAAGCCCGGAGCUUAACUCCGGAAAGGCCUAUGAUACUGUCUGGCUUGAGGACCGGAGAGGCUGGCGGAAUUCCCGGUGUAGGGGUGAAAUCCGUAGAUAUCGGGAGGAACACCGGUGGGGAAGCCGGCCAGCUGGACGGUUCCUGACGCUGAGGCACGAAAGCGUGGGGAGCAAACCGGAUUAGAUACCCGGGUAGUCCACGCCGUAAACGAUGGGCGCUAGGUGUGGGGGGUUAAACUCUCCGUGCCGAAGCUAACGCGUUAAGCGCCCCGCCUGGGGAGUACGGCCGCAAGGCU
rnacentral:rRNA from 1 species